GCUGGAAUUGUAUGAUUGUGAAGACAUCGCGAACCUUAAAGGUUGAGAAGUGAACGGAUUAUACGGCGAACUGAGACGACGUGAAAAAGGGGAUUGGAAGCGGCAUUGAUGUGAGUACUAAGAGCCAGUCGAAAGUGCCCUGUAUAUUGACCUGGCGUUGUGUAGAUCUCUCCAGGAGGAGGAGGGCGGCCCUACCCCUAAUAUAGCGUGGUGGGAGAGCCGAAGGAAUACUUAUUGAAGUAGUCACAACGACGACAUCACUAGCUAGGCCGCAUAUUCCAUCGCCAGAUCCGAACCAAGCGAAGUGAAGGAAGACGGGUGUCCUUUUCGUACACUGAGUGUGGUGGGUGAGUCUUCGUGCUGUGAAAACCUAUAAUUUUGACGUGGUGUUGUAUAUUGCUGUGGGCUGCUGUGUAUUGCCGUGUGUCCUGUCAGAUAAACCCCCGCCUUCACGCACUUCGUCGCGGGAGGACAAGGAGACUGCUGGUCCUAGCCUAGUUCAGUACAGUAUAUGUUGUGAGCGUGCUUCAGAUCUCCGGAGAUAGCAUGGUACGCUGUGUCCAGCCCAGAGGUGAAAGCCAUCCAAAGCAGAGUAACUGUGCUUUGUGUCCAAGUUGAUACCUGUGGAGAGGAAAGGAAAGAGAGAGUGAGUAACACAAGGAGAACCAGAGGGAACCUGUACUUACAGUACGCUGUGUCCAGCCCAGAGGUGAGAGCCAUUCAAAGCAAACUAACUGUGCUAUUGUGCCCAAGUUGAUACCUGUGGAGAGAAAAGGAAAGAGAGAUUGAUACCUGUGGAGAGAAAAGGAGAGAGAGUGGGUAACACGAGGAGAGACCGAGGAAAACUGUACUUACGCCGCUACCUGUGGAGAAAGAGAAAGCGACCGUUGCCUGUGGAGGAAGAGAAAGAGAGUGAGCACCUCGAGAACGAACUGUGUGAACCAGUACUUACCGUGAGCUGUAUUCAGCGAAGAGGAGGAAGAAGGAGGGCGCUACGGAUACCUAAGACUCAGGCCGGGGCCCGAGUCCCACGCCCCGGAUCCCCGUGGCCCCCUUUCUCCCUGACCUCUUCCCGGCCAUAGCCCAUCUGGAGGGCCGAGUCAGAGUUUAGUUUUAAUUGCCCUUUCCCUAUUCCCCAAGCUAUUUUUAAAUAUUUAAAUAAAGAU
ensembl:lncRNA